rnacentral:lncRNA from 1 species
GGGUGGUUCGGGAUAUAUCGAAUAUUGGAAGGAUUUGACAGACUACUACAUCCUGUUCCAGUAUGUGAGCUAAAUCUGCCUUGCAAGUCUUGCGCAUUGUACCAUCGUCAUGGAACAUGGAUGUUGGGAUUGGGCCAAUUGGAUAGGACAGAACUUUUUCAACUGUUACAUCCUCUCGACAAUUUGCCAAAGCCAAGGCACGCCUAAAAACUAACUCUGGGUUGAUAUGCACAUUAACU